rnacentral:rRNA from 1 species
AUGGCUUCUACAUCUCCCAAGAAAAAUAAAUUCAGGAUCUUCUUGCUCGCGCUGCUCUCGGUGAUGAGCGCACUGUUGUCACUCCCAUGGAGCUCAACAUUCAGCUUCAUGCCUCUGAUGGUGACCCUCUUCCUAAUCCCACUCGCUAUCGUCACCUUGUUGGCAGUCUUGUCUAUCUUGCUGUUACGCGUCCUGACAUCUCCUAUCCUGUCCACAUUCUGA